rnacentral:ncRNA from 1 species
AAUAAAGAUGUAUUACUUGUAUAGAAACAUAAUUGGUUGAUUCGUCUCUACCCGCUGACCGUAAAUUAGCGGACUACAAGUAAAUCUUUUU